rnacentral:tmRNA from 1 species
GGGGGCGAAUGGAUUCGACGUGAAUUGUAAGGUUCUAGAUGCGUGUCGAGAAUAUAGUCUUACUCGUAAAUAUGGCUAUAAACAAAAUAAACGCCAAUGAUAAAUUUGCGUUAGCGGUUGCUUAAAAACCAACUGAUCCGUAAUCAAGAUGUUCUUAUGCGUCUUGUCUUGCGGUCAUUUACAUAAGACGAUAUUAGUGAUGUGUUUGGCAUUACUUUUAUUGAUAUAAUCAAACUAGUUGGUUGUUGUUUUGUUCAUCAAUUAACAACUAAUGAAACUAAAGAUGAACUACACACGUAGUAUCGAAAAUUGAUGAUUUGCGGACGCGGGUUCAAUACCCGCCGCCUCCACCA